ACAAUUUUAGCAAUCCUUAUAAAAUCACUGCAUGUCACAUUGUGUGACAUGGAUCUAAUAAACUUGGCUACGACAUGCGUGUAGACUGUACGAUGAUGACACCUGUUGACUCGUAGGCUACGACGCACGUUACUACAGAAGAAUAAAACGUCAUCAUCAUGCGCUAGUGAUAAACAAAAAGAGCAUGAUAAAGAAACACUUUAGCAGUAGUAUUUUUUAUGUGCUGAAAAAAAGUAGAAGCAGCGAAAGAGGAAGGCAUAAGAGCUUGAGUUUAUUUUCAGAAACCUCCUCAGAAAAGGGAUUCUUCCAGAGGGCAUGAUGGGAUAGCUUUUAAUAAGCCAGCUGUUAGGCUAUGACGAAAAGAGAAAAUGAAGGUUGAAGAUUGAAGAGCAUCCAACUAAAAUGUUCCUAAAAACAUUCCAUGACUGAUGUAUAAAUUGUUUUUGUGCCAACAUUUUGAGAAUGUUAUUAAAGCCUGAAAACGUUCUAUUAAAAUUACUGUAAAAAUGUUUGCUCAUAACUUUCUGAAUGUUCCAUGAACGUUCAAAACUUCCAGUUUUUAAA